GGAUCAUUACACAAAUAUGAAGGCGGGCUGGAACCUCUCGGGGUUACAGCCUUGCUGAAUUAUUCACCCUUGUCUUUUGCGUACUUCUUGUUUCCUUGGUGGGUUCGCCCACCACUAGGACAAACAUAAACCUUUUGUAAUUGCAAUCAGCGUCAGUAACAAAUUAAUAAUUACAACUUUCAACAACGGAUCUCUUGGUUCUGGCAUCGAUGAAGAACGCAGCGAAAUGCGAUAAGUAGUGUGAAUUGCAGAAUUCAGUGAAUCAUCGAAUCUUUGAACGCACAUUGCGCCCUUUGGUAUUCCAAAGGGCAUGCCUGUUCGAGCGUCAUUUGUACCCUCAAGCUUUGCUUGGUGUUGGGCGUCUUGUCUCUAGCUUUGCUGGAGACUCGCCUUAAAGUAAUUGGCAGCCGGCCUACUGGUUUCGGAGCGCAGCACAAGUCGCACUCUCUAUCAGCAAAGGUCUAGCAUCCAUUAAGCCUUUUUUUCAACUUUUGACCUCGGAUCAGGUAGGGAUACCCGCUGAACUUAAGCAUAUCAAUAAGCGGAGGAAAAGAAACCAACAGGGAUUGCCCUAGUAACGGCGAGUGAAGCGGCAACAGCUCAAAUUUGAAAUCUGGCUCUUUUAGAGUCCGAGUUGUAAUUUGCAGAGGGCGCUUUGGCUUUGGCAGCGGUCCAAGUUCCUUGGAACAGGACGUCACAGAGGGUGAGAAUCCCGUACGUGGUCGCUGGCUAUUGCCGUGUAAAGCCCCUUCGACGAGUCGAGUUGUUUGGGAAUGCAGCUCUAAAUGGGAGGUACAUUUCUUCUAAAGCUAAAUAUUGGCCAGAGACCGAUAGCGCACAAGUAGAGUGAUCGAAAGAUGAAAAGCACUUUGGAAAGAGAGUCAAACAGCACGUGAAAUUGUUGAAAGGGAAGCGCUUGCAGCCAGACUUGCUUACAGUUGCUCAUCCGGGUUUCUACCCGGUGCACUCUUCUGUAGGCAGGCCAGCAUCAGUUUGGGCGGUAGGAUAAAGGUCUCUGUCACGUACCUCCUUUCGGGGAGGCCUUAUAGGGGAGACGACAUACUACCAGCCUGG
rnacentral:rRNA from 1 species